UGGAAGCACUGGGUGGAGGGAACAAUCGCAGAGAUAGACCCUAGUUUGGGCAGGCACUAUCACGGAGGCGAGGUUCUGAAAUGCGUCGACAUUGGGCUGCUGUGUGUCCAACAGAAACCCACGGACCGGCCAUCCAUGUUGUCCAUCCUUGUCAUGCUCGGCAGCGACACAGUCUCUCUCGAAUCUCGAUGCCCCCUACAGGCCAGCCUAUGUCUUCGACAGGACCACGAGCUACUCAGAGACUGCUGA
rnacentral:rRNA from 1 species